CACGGGGGGAGCAAGCGUUGUUCGGAUUCAUUGGGCGUAAAGGGCUCGUAGGUGGCUUUGUAAGUCGGAGGUGAAAUCCCACGGCUCAACCGUGGACACGCCUUCGAAACUGUGAAGCUUGAGGCUGGGAGAGGAGAUCGGAAUUCCUGGUGUAGCGGUGAAAUGCGUAGAUAUCAGGAGGAACACCGGUGGCGAAGGCGGAUCUCUGGACCAACACUGACACUGAGGAGCGAAAGCCAGGGGAGCAAACGGG
rnacentral:rRNA from 1 species